UAGUUACCUAAAUAGAAAGUUUAUAUAAUUGUAAUAUCGGAAUAUAUUAAAGGUGUAAUUUUGUCCGAUUAAUUAUAAUUUAUUAAUUAUGGAUUGAAAAUACAGAUAUUAGUUAGACAGAGAAACGAUGUUUAACAGGAAAACUAAAUGCAACGCUCGUAUUUA